rnacentral:rRNA from 1 species
UACGUAGGCAGCGAGCGUUGUUCGGAGUUACUGGGCGUAAAGGGUGUGUAGGCGGUUGUUUAAGUUUGGUGUGAAAUCUCCCGGCUCAACUGGGAGGGUGCGCCGAAUACUGAAUGACUAGAGUGCGGGAGAGGAGAGUGGAAUUCCUGGUGUAGCGGUGAAAUGCGUAGAUAUCGUAAGGAAGACCAGUGGCGAAGGCGGGUCUCUGGACAGUUCCUGACGCUGAGGCACGAAGGCCAGGGGAGCAAACGGG